rnacentral:rRNA from 1 species
CUUACCAGGUCCAGACACAGUUAGGAUUGACAGAUUGAGAGCUCUUUCUUGAUUCUGUGGGUGGUGGUGCAUGGCCGUUCUUAGUUGGUGGAGUGAUUUGUCUGGUUAAUUCCGAUAACGAACGAGACCUCAGUUUAUUAAUUAAAUAAAAAAAUAUAAGCGAUAUAAGAGUUAAGGAAGAAUAUAAUAAUAUUUUAUACUAUUAUACCUUUUUUAAAACUUGUUUAUAUUUAUUUUUAUUUUCUUAAAAAGACACUUGGUGUUUAACCAAGGGAAGUUUGAGGCAAUAACAGGUCUGUGAUGCCCUUUAGAUGUUCUGGGCCGCACGCGCGCUACACUGAUAAAAUCAAUAAGUUUUUUAUUAAAUUAACCUUAAUAGAAAUAUUUGGGUAAACUUUGAAAAUUUUAUCGUGCUGGGGAUUGACAAUUGUAAUUAUUUGUCAUCAACGAGGAAUUCCUAGUAAACGUAAGUCAUCAGCUUACGUUGAUUACGUCCCUGCCCUUUGUACACACCGCCCGUC